rnacentral:rRNA from 1 species
UACAGAGGUCUCGAGCGUUAGGCGGAAUCACUGGGCUUAAAGCGUGUGUAGGCGGAUCGUUAAGUACCUUGUGAAAUCCCACGGCUUAACCGUGGAACUGCUUGGUAUACUGGCGGUCUUGAGCCAGCUAGGGGCUACCGGAACAAAUGGUGGAGCGGUGAAAUGCGUAGAUAUCAUUUGGAACGCCAUGGUGAAAACAGGGUAGCUGGGGCUGUGCUGA